rnacentral:rRNA from 1 species
AGAGUUUGAUCCUGGCUCAGAACGAACGCUGGCGGCGUGGAUAAGACAUGCAAGUCGAACGAGAGAAUUGCUAGCUUGCUAAUAAUUCUCUAGUGGCGCACGGGUGAGUAACACGUGAGUAACCUGCCCCCGAGAGCGGGAUAGCCCUGGGAAACUGGGAUUAAUACCGCAUAGUAUCGAAAGAUUAAAGCAGCAAUGCGCUUGGGGAUGGGCUCGCGGCCUAUUAGUUAGUUGGUGAGGUAACGGCUCACCAAGGCGAUGACGGGUAGCCGGUCUGAGAGGAUGUCCGGCCACACUGGAACUGAGACACGGUCCAGACACCUACGGGUGGCAGCAGUCGAGAAUCAUUCACAAUGGGGGAAACCCUGAUGGUGCGACGCCGCGUGGGGGAAUGAAGGUCUUCGGAUUGUAAACCCCUGUCAUGUGGGAGCAAAUUAAAAAGAUAGUACCACAAGAGGAAGAGACGGCUAACUCUGUGCCAGCAGCCGCGGUAAUACAGAGGUCUCAAGCGUUGUUCGGAAUCACUGGGCGUAAAGCGUGCGUAGGCUGUUUCGUAAGUCGUGUGUGAAAGGCGCGGGCUCAACCCGCGGACGGCACAUGAUACUGCGAGACUAGAGUAAUGGAGGGGGAACCGGAAUUCUCGGUGUAGCAGUGAAAUGCGUAGAUAUCGAGAGGAACACUCGUGGCGAAGGCGGGUUCCUGGACAUUAACUGACGCUGAGGCACGAAGGCCAGGGGAGCGAAAGGGAUUAGAUACCCCUGUAGUCCUGGCAGUAAACGGUGCACGCUUGGUGUGCGGGGAAUCGACCCCCUGCGUGCCGGAGCUAACGCGUUAAGCGUGCCGCCUGGGGAGUACGGUCGCAAGAUUAAAACUCAAAGAAAUUGACGGGGACCCGCACAAGCGGUGGAGUAUGUGGCUUAAUUCGAUGCAACGCGAAGAACCUUACCUGGGCUUGACAUGUAAUGAACAACAUGUGAAAGCAUGCGACUCUUCGGAGGCGUUACACAGGUGCUGCAUGGCCGUCGUCAGCUCGUGUCGUGAGAUGUUUGGUUAAGUCCAGCAACGAGCGCAACCCCUGUUGCCAGUUACCAGCACGUGAAGGUGGGGUCUCUGGCGAGACUGCCCAGAUCAACUGGGAGGAAGGUGGGGACGACGUCAGGUCAGUAUGGCCCUUAUGCCCAGGGCUGCACACGUACUACAAUGCCCAGUACAGAGGGGGCCGAAGCCGCGAGGCGGAGGAAAUCCUAAAAACUGGGCCCAGUUCGGACUGUAGGCUGCAACCCGCCUACACGAAGCCGGAAUCGCUAGUAAUGGCGCAUCAGCUACGGCGCCGUGAAUACGUUCCCGGGUCUUGCACACAACGCCCGUCA